GACGAACGCUGGCGGCGUGCUUAACACAUGCAAGUCGAGCGGUAAGGCCCUUUCGGGGUACGACGAGCGGCGGACGGGUGAGUAACACGUGGGUGGCCUGCCCUCAGCUCUGGGAUAAGCCUGGGAAACCGGGGUCUAAUACCGGAUAUGACUCCAUGACGCAUGUUGUGGGGUGGAAAGCCUUGUGCGGCUGAGGAUGGGCCCGGCGGCCUAUCAGCUUGUUGGUGGGGGUGAUGGCCUACCAA
rnacentral:rRNA from 1 species